UACGUAGGGAGCAAGCGUUGUUCGGAUUUACUGGGCGUAAAGGGCGCGUAGGCGGCUCGGUAAGUCACUUGUGAAAUCUCUGAGCUUAACUCAGAACGGCCAAGUGAUACUGCAGUGCUAGAGUGCAGAAGGGGCAAUCGGAAUUCUUGGUGUAGCGGUGAAAUGCGUAGAUAUCAGGAGGAACACCUGAGGUGAAGACGGGUUGCUAGGCUGACACUGACGCUGAGGCGCGAAAGCCAGGGGAGCAAACGGG
rnacentral:rRNA from 1 species